UACGAAGGGGGCUAGCGUUGUUCGGAUUUACUGGGCGUAAAGCGCACGUAGGCGGAUCGAUCAGUCAGGGGUGAAAUCCCAGAGCUCAACUCUGGAACUGCCUUUGAUACUGUCGAUCUGGAGUAUGGAAGAGGUGAGUGGAAUUCCGAGUGUAGAGGUGAAAUUCGUAGAUAUUCGGAGGAACACCAGUGGCGAAGGCGGCUCACUGGUC
rnacentral:rRNA from 1 species